CAGCAGCCGCGGUAAUACAGAGGGUGCGAGCGUUAAUCGGAUUUACUGGGCGUAAAGCGUGCGUAGGCGGCUAAUUGAGUCGGAUGUGAAAUCCCCGAGCUUAACUUGGGAAUUGCAUUCGAUACUGGUUAGCUAGAGUGUGGGAGAGGAUGGUAGAAUUCCAGGUGUAGCGGUGAAAUGCGUAGAGAUCUGGAGGAAUACCGAUGGCGAAGGCAGCCAUCUGGCCUAACACUGACGCUGAGGUACGAAAGCAUGGGGAGCAAACAGGAUUAGAGACCCGCGUAGUCCCUGUCUCUUAUAC
rnacentral:rRNA from 1 species